AUGCGCUACUUGAAAGGCACUGCGAGCUAUGGGAUGCACUACACCGGGUAUCCAAGGGUACUGGAGGGUUAUAAUGACUCAAACUGGAUAUCUGAUGCUGAUGAGAUUAAGGCCACAAGUGGUUAUGAUUUUACACUUGGUGGUGGCAUUGUUUCCUGGAAGUCUUGCAAGCAGACCAUCUUAACGAGGUCAACUAUGGAAGCAGAACUCACAGCAUUAGACAUUGCCACUGUUGAAGCAGAGUGGCUUCAUGAGCUUUUGAUGGACUUACCUAUGGUUGAAAAACCAAUACCUUCCAUCCUGAUGAACUGUGAUAAUCAAACUGUGAUCGUCAAGAUAAACAGUUCUAAGGAUAAUAUGAAGUCCUCAAGGCAUGUGAAGAGGAGAUUGAAAUCUGUCACAAAAUUGAAGAACUCCGGAGUUAUUACGUUGGAUUAUAUC
rnacentral:rRNA from 1 species